rnacentral:sRNA from 1 species
GCUGGGUGCUAUGGCAGGCACCUGUGGUCCCAGCUACUCGGGUGGCUGAGGCAAGAGAAUCACUAAGCGCAAAAACUGGAAGUUGCUGUGAGCUGUGUGACACCACGGCACUCUACGGAGGGAGACAAAGUGAGACUUUGUCUCUACCAAAAAAAGAGAGAGAGAGACAGUCUCACUUUGUCGCCCUCAGUGGAGUGCUGUGGCAUCAUAGCCACAGCAACCUCCAACUCUUGGGCUGAAGCAAUGCUCUUGCC